GACGACUGGGUUGAUAGGCCAGAUGUGGAAGCCCUGUGAGGGGUGGAGCUGACUGGUACUAAUAGGCCGAGGGCUUGUCCUCAGUUG
rnacentral:rRNA from 1 species